ensembl:lncRNA
UGUGUGUGUGUGUGUGUGUGUGUGAUGAGCUCAGACCUAAUCUCAGGUGUGUGCAAUGAGCUGCUCCAGGUGUGUGUGUGUGUGUGCAAUGAGCUGCUCCAGGUGUGUGUGUGUGUGGCUACGUGUUCUGGACUGGACUAACUGAGACUUGUCAAAGCACUUGUAUACCCUUGUUGUUCUCGUUGAAAUGAUUGUUUCUACUGUUCUCAUUUGUAAGUCGCUUUGGAUAAAAGUGUCUGCUAUGUGAUUUAGUGUGAUUGUAUGUGAUGAGCUCAGGGCUGAUCUCAGGUGUGUGUGUGUGUGUGAUGGGCUGCUGCAGGUGUGUGUGUGUGUGUGUGAUGAGCGGUACCAGGUGUGUGUGUGUGUGUGUGUGUGGGUGAUGAGCUGCUCCAGGUGUGUGUGUGAUGAGCUCAGACCUAAUCUCAGGAGUGUGUGAUGAACUGCUCCCGGUGUGUGUGUGUGAUGAGCUGCUCCAGGUGUGUGUGUGUGUGGCUACGUG